GAUGAACGCUGGCGGCGUGCCUAAUACAUGCAAGUCGAGCGAACGGACGAGAAGCUUGCUUCUCUGAUGUUAGCGGCGGACGGGUGAGUAACACGUGGAUAACCUACCUAUAAGACUGGGAUAACUUCGGGAAACCGGAGCUAAUACCGGAUAAUAUUUUGAACCGCAUGGUUCAAAAGUGAAAGACGGCCUUGCUGUCACUUAUAGAUGGAUCCGCGCUGCAUUAGCUAGUUGGUAAGGUAACGGCUUACCAAGGCAACGAUGCAUAGCCGACCUGAGAGGGUGAUCGGCCACACUGGAACUGAGACACGGUCCAGACUCCUACGGGAGGCAGCAGUAGGGAAUCUUCCGCAAUGGGCGAAAGCCUGACGGAGCAACGCCGCGUGAGUGAUGAAGGUCUUCGGAUCGUAAAACUCUGCUAUUAGGGAAGAACAUAUGUGUAAGUAACUGUGCACAUCUUGACGGUACCUAAUCAGAAAGCCACGGCUAACUACGUG
rnacentral:rRNA from 1 species